rnacentral:lncRNA from 1 species
UGGCCAUGACAUGUAUAAAAUGUAUAUUAAGGAGGAAUUAUAAAGUACUUUAAUUUGAAUGCUAGUGGCAAUUUACCAUAAAGAAAGUACUUUAAAACAAAAGGUUAAUGGGUCAUCUGGGAAAUACUAAUUUGAAGUAUCAGAGGUAUUUGCACGUGAAUGUGGGUUAUGUUCUAUCCCACCUUGUAACAUAUUCUAUGAAAGUUGAGUUAAAUGAUAGCUGAAAUAUGUUUUAACAGCAUGUAAAAAGUUAUUUUACCUGUUACAAGUCAUUAUACAAUUUUGAAUGUUAUGUAGUUUCUUUUUAACAGUUUAGGUUAAAAGGUCUGUUUUCAUUCUGGUGCUCUUACUAAUUUUGAUAGUAUGAUGUUACUCACUGUUGCAAUGUAAGCUAGCGUGUACGUUACAAUGGAAGCUCCUCGAGAGCAGGCACCUUGUCUGUCUUCACUGCUGUAUCUAUUCCCAUCGCCUCAUGACAGUGCCUGGCACAUAGUAGGCACUCAAUAAAUACUUGUUCAAUGAAAAAAAAA